rnacentral:rRNA from 1 species
UCACACAGGGGAGAGUGUGAUCCUGGCUCAGAUUGAACGCUGGCGGAAUGCUUUACACAUGCAAGUCGAACGGCAGCACGGGAGCAAUCCUGGUGGCGAGUGGCGAACGGGUGAGUAAUACAUCGGAACGUGCCCAGUAGUGGGGGAUAACCCGGCGAAAGCCGGACUAAUACCGCAUACGACCUACGGGUGAAAGCAGGGGAUCGCAAGACCUUGCGCUAUCGGGGCGGCCGAUGUCAGAUUAGCUUGUUGGCGGGGUAAAAGCCCACCAAGGCGACGAUCUGUAGCUGGUCUGAGAGGACGACCAGCCACACUGGGACUGAGACACGGCCCAGACUCCUACGGGAGGCAGCAGUGGGGAAUUUUGGACAAUGGGCGCAAGCCUGAUCCAGCCAUGCCGCGUGCGGGAAGAAGGCCUUCGGGUUGUAAACCGCUUUUGUCAGGGAAGAAAAGCUCUAGGCUAAUACCUGGAGUCAUGACGGUACCUGAAGAAUAAGCACCGGCUAACUACGUGCCAGCAGCCGCGGUACGC